UAGCUCAGUGGUAGAGUGCUUGCCUAAUAUGCAGGAAGUCCUGGGGUUUAUUCCCAG
rnacentral:tRNA from 1 species